rnacentral:rRNA from 1 species
AGUGAACGCUGGCGGUAGGCCUAACACAUGCAAGUCGAACGGCAGCACAGUAAGAGCUUGCUCUUACGGGUGGCGAGUGGCGGACGGGUGAGGAAUACAUCGGAAUCUACUUUUUCGUGGGGGAUAACGUAGGGAAACUUACGCUAAUACCGCAUACGACCUACGGGUGAAAGCAGGGGAUCUUCGGACCUUGCGCGAUUGAAUGAGCCGAUGUCGGAUUAGCUAGUUGGCGGGGUAAAGGCCCACCAAGGCGACGAUCCGUAGCUGGUCUGAGAGGAUGAUCAGCAACACUGGAACGGAGAAACGGCCCAGAUCCCUACGGGAGGAAGCAGUGGGGAAUAUUGGACAAUGGGCGCAAGCCUGAUCCAGCCAUACCGCGUGGGUGAAGAAGGCCUUCGGGUUGUAAAGCCCUUUUGUUGGGAAAGAAAAGCAGCAGGUUAAUACCCCGCUGUUCUGACGGUACCCAAAGAAUAAGCACCGGCUAACUUCGU